rfam:Pantoea dispersa strain SA5 contig_8, whole genome shotgun sequence.
UUCGUCUGUAGCAAAUAGAGGAUGAGAACCUCCGAAGGAGGUUUGAGCCGAGCGCAGCGAGACAACGUUGCGUCAGCAAUGGCCCGCAGGGCGCUUCUCGCAGAGAAGCGUAAUCCUCUCUCGCCGACCA